GAUGAACGCUGGCGGCGUGCCUAACACAUGCAAGUCGAGCGGACGGACGGGGCUUUUGCUUGGCUGAUGUUGGGGGCGGGCGGGUGAGUCACAGGAGGAUACCCUACCUUUGGGGAUGAGGUCCGUUAGGGAGAGCGUAUAUCACAUAGGUUCAUAUUUUGAACGGGGGGGUUCUUCGGAGAUCACGGGUUUUGAUGUCCCUAGUUCGUGGUUCCAAGCUGCAUUAGCUAGUUGGUAAGGUAACGGCGUACCAAGGCUACGAUGCGUAGCCGAUCUGAGAGGGUGAUCGGCCACACUGGAACUGAGACACGGUCCAGACUCCUACGGGAGGCAGCAGUAGGGAAUCUUCGGCAAUGGGCGAAAGCCUGACGCAGCAACGCCGCGUGUGUGAUGAAGGUCUUCGGAUCGUAAAGCUCUUUUAGUAGGGAAGAACAGAAGUAUAAUAAUCCGUUGACAUCUUGACGUUACCUAAAGAAAAAGCCACGGCUAACUACGUG
rnacentral:rRNA from 1 species